AUUGAACGCUGGCGGAAUGCUUUACACAUGCAAGUCGAACGGCAGCACGGGGCAACCUGUUGGCGAGUGGCGAACGGGUGAGUAAUACAUCGGAACGUGCCCAAUUGUGGGGGAUAACGUCGCGAAAGUUACGCUAAUACCGCAUACGAUCUACGGAUGAAAGCGGGGGAUCGCAAGACCUAGCGCGAAUGGAGCGGCCGAUGUCAGAUUAGGUAGUUGGUGGGGUAAAGGCUCACCAAGCCAACGAUCUGUAGCUGGUCUGAGAGGACGACCAGCCACACUGGGACUGAGACACGGCCCAGACUCCUACGGGAGGCAGCAGUGGGGAAUUUUGGACAAUGGGCGCAAGCCUGAUCCAGCCACUCCGCGUGCAGGAUGAAGGCCUUCGGGUUGUAAACUGCUUUUGUACGGAACGAAACGGUUCUCUCUAAUACAGGGGGCUAAUGACGGUACCGUAAGAAUAAGCACCGGCUAACUACGUGCCAGCCGCCGCCGUAA
rnacentral:rRNA from 1 species